GAUGAACGCUGGCGGCGUGCCUAAUACAUGCAAGUCGAGCGAACGGACGAGAAGCUUGCCUCCCUGAUGUUAGCUGCGGACGGGUGAGUAACACGUGGAUAACCUGCCUAUAAGACUGGGAUAACCUCGUGCAACCGGAGCUAAUAUCGGAUAAUAUUUUGAACCGCAUGGUUCAAAAGUGUAAGACUGUCUUGCUGUCACUUAUAGAUGGAUCCGCGCUGCAUUAGCUAGUUGGUAAGGUAACGGCUUACCAAGGCAACGAUGCAUAGCCGACCUGAGAGGGUGAUCGGCCAGACGGGAACUGAGGCACGGUCCAGACUCCUGCAGGAGGCAGCAGUAGGGAAUCUUCCGGGAGGGGCGAGAGCCUGACAGAGCAACGCCGCGUGAGGGAUGAAGGUGUUAGGAUCGUAGAACUCUGUUAGUAGGGGAGUACAUAUGUGUAAGUAACUGUGCAGAUCUUGACGGUACCUAAUCAGAAAGCCACGGCUAACUACGUG
rnacentral:rRNA from 1 species